rnacentral:rRNA from 1 species
UCAAGCGAACAAGUGCAUGUGGUGGAUGCCUUGGCGAUCACAGGCGAUGAAGGACGCGGUAGCCUGCGAAAAGCGGAGGGGAGCUGGCAAACGAGCUUUGAUCCUCCGAUAUCCGAAUGGGGAAACCCGGCCCGUAUGGGUCAUCCGUAACUGAAUACAUAGGUUACGUGAAGCGAACGCGGUGAACUGAAACAUCUAAGUAACCGCAGGAAAAGAAAUCAACCGAGAUUCCCAGAGUAGUGGCGAGCGAAAUGGGACCAGCCUGUACUCUUUAUCUUCAUUGUUAGUCGAAGGCUCUGGAAAGUGCCGCCAUAGCAGGUGAUAGCCCUGUAGACGAAAACAGCGGGGAAGAACUAGGUGUACGGAAAGUAGGGCGGGACACGUGAAAUCCUGUCUGAAGAUGGGGGGACCAUCCUCCAAGGCUAAAUACUCGUGAUCGACCGAUAGUGAACCAGUACCGUGAGGGAAAGGCGAAAAGAACCCCGGGAGGGGAGUGAAACAGAUCCUGAAACCGCAUGCAUACAAACAGUCGGAGCCUCGCAAGGGGUGACGGCGUACCUUUUGUAUAAUGGGUCAGCGACUUACAUUCAGUGGCAAGCUUAACCGAUUAGGGCAGGCGUAGCGAAAGCGAGUCCGAACAGGGCGAUUCAGUCGCUGGGUGUAGACCCGAAACCAGGUGAUCUAUCCAUGGCCAGGAUGAAGGUGCGGUAACACGUACUGGAGGUCCGAACCCACUAACGUUGAAAAGUUAGGGGAUGAGCUGUGGAUAGGGGUGAAAGGCUAAACAAACCUGGAAAUAGCUGGUUCUCUCCGAAAACUAUUUAGGUAGUGCCUCGUGUAUCACCUUCGGGGGUAGAGCACUGUCAUGGUUGUGGGGUCCAUUGCGGAUUACUACGCCAUAGCAAACUCCGAAUACCGAAGAGUGCAAUCACGGGAGACAGACAUCGGGUGCUAACGUCCGGUGUCAAGAGGGAAACAACCCAGACCGCCAGCUAAGGUCCCCAAAUAUUGCUAAGUGGGAAACGAAGUGGGAAGGCUAAAACAGUCAGGAGGUUGGCUUAGAAGCAGCCAUCCUUUAAAGAAAGCGUAAUAGCUCACUGAUCGAGUCGUCCUGCGCGGAAGAUGUAACGGGGCUAAGCAAUAUACCGAAGCUGCGGAUGCACAUUUAUGUGCAUGGUAGGAGAGCGUUCCGUAAGCCUGCGAAGGUGCAUUGAAAAGUGUGCUGGAGGUAUCGGAAGUGCGAAUGCUGACAUGAGUAGCGAUAAAGGGGGUGAAAGGCCCCCUCGCCGUAAGCCCAAGGUUUCCUACGCAACGUUCAUCGGCGUAGGGUGAGUCGGCCCCUAAGGCGAGGCAGAAAUGCGUAGCUGAUGGGAAGCAGGUUAAUAUUCCUGCACCAUUGUUAAAUGCGAUGGGGGGACGGAUCGCGGAAGGUUGUCCGGGUGUUGGAAGUCCCGGUCCUUGCAUUGGAGAAGGCGCUUAGGCAAAUCCGGGCGCGGAAUUCAAGGGUGCGAGGCCAUUCACUUAGGUGAAGAAGCAAUCGGAAGUGGUUCCAAGAAAAGCCUCUAAGCUUCAGUUUAACAGGACCGUACCGCAAACCGACACAGGUGGGCGAGAUGAGUAUUCUAAGGCGCUUGAGAGAACUCGGGAGAAGGAACUCGGCAAAUUGGUACCGUAACUUCGGGAUAAGGUACGCCCCUGUAGCUUGAUGCCCCUGCGGGCAGAGGGUGAAGGGGUUGCAAUAAACUGGUGGCUGCGACUGUUUAAUAAAAACACAGCACUCUGCAAACACGAAAGUGGACGUAUAGGGUGUGACGCCUGCCCGGUGCCGGAAGAUUAAAUGAUGGGGUGCAAGCUCUUGAUUGAAGUCCCGGUAAACGGCGGCCGUAACUAUAACGGUCCUAAGGUAGCGAAAUUCCUUGUCGGGUAAGUUCCGACCUGCACGAAUGGCGUAACGAUGGCCACACUGUCUCCUCCCGAGACUCAGCGAAGUUGAAGUGUUUGUGAUGAUGCAAUCUCCCCGCGGCUAGACGGAAAGACCCCAUGAACCUUUACUGUAGCUUUGCAUUGGACUUUGAACCGAUCUGUGUAGGAUAGGUGGGAGGCUAUGAAGCGUGGACGCCAGUCUGCGUGGAGCCGUCCUUGAAAUACCACCCUGGUUUGUUUGAGGUUCUAACCUUGGUCCGUAAUCCGGAUCGGGGACAGUGCAUGGUAGGCAGUUUGACUGGGGCGGUCUCCUCCCAAAGUGUAACGGAGGAGUACGAAGGUACGCUAGGUACGGUCGGAAAUCGUGCUGAUAGUGCAAUGGCAUAAGCGUGCUUAACUGCGAGACCGACAAGUCGAGCAGGUGCGAAAGCAGGUCAUAGUGAUCCGGUGGUUCUGUAUGGAAGGGCCAUCGCUCAACGGAUAAAAGGUACUCUGGGGAUAACAGGCUGAUACCGCCCAAGAGUUCAUAUCGACGGCGGUGUUUGGCACCUCGAUGUCGGCUCAUCUCAUCCUGGGGCUGUAGCCGGUCCCAAGGGUAUGGCUGUUCGCCAUUUAAAGAGGUACGUGAGCUGGGUUUAAAACGUCGUGAGACAGUUUGGUCCCUAUCUGCCGUGGGCGCUGGAUAUUUGAAGGGGGCUGCUCCUAGUACGAGAGGACCGGAGUGGACGAACCUCUGGUGUACCGGUUGUCACGCCAGUGGCAUCGCCGGGUAGCUAUGUUCGGAAGAGAUAACCGCUGAAAGCAUCUAAGCGGGAAACUCGCCUUAAGAUGAGAUAUCCCCGGGGCUUCGAGCCCCUUGAAGGGUCGUUCAAGACCAGGACGUUGAUAGGUCAGGUGUGGAAGCGCAGUAAUGCGUUAAGCUAACUGAUACUAAUUGCCCGUAAGGCUUGAUCCU